GAUGAACGCUGGCGGCGUGCCUAAUACAUGCAAGUCGAGCGAACGGACGAGAAGCUUGCUUCUCUGAUGUUAGCGGCGGACGGGUGAGUAACACGUGGAUAACCUACCUAUAAGACUGGGAUAACUUCGGGAAACCGGAGCUAAUACCGGAUAAUAUUUUGAACCGCGUGGUUCAAAAGUGAAAGACGGUCUUGCUGUCACUAUAGAUGGAUCCGCGCUGCAUUAGCUAGUUGGUAAGGUAACGGCUUACCAAGGCAACGAUGCAUAGCCGACCUGAGAGGGUGAUCGGCCACACUGGAACUGAGACACGGUCCAGACUCCUACGGGAGGCAGCAGUAGGGAAUCUUCCGCAAUGGGCGAAAGCCUGACGGAGCAACGCCGCGUGAGUGAUGAAGGUCUUCGGAUCGUAAAACUCUGUUAUUAGGGAAGAACAUAUGUGUAAGUAACUGUGCACAUCUUGACGGUACCUAAUCAGAAAGCCACGGCUAACUACGUG
rnacentral:rRNA from 1 species